rnacentral:lncRNA from 1 species
UACUUCUAGGAAUCCCGGCGCAAGCCAUCGUGCAUCUAGUUAUACUAGGGCAGCCAGACUCAUCCACGUCUGGAUAUUCGGAGUGUAAAGUUUAUCCUCCCAUCUUGGAGAGCUGACCCAUAUGGGUGUCGGAGAAUUGGUUUACCCUCUCGCACUGAAGAGCAUGGUUGGUCCCUCGGGGGGCGCAAUUCCUGCGAUGAG